rnacentral:rRNA from 1 species
UGAGGAAUAUUGGGCAAUGCCCGCAAGGGUGACCCAGCAACGCCGCGUGGAGGAUGAACGUCGUAAGAUUGUAAACUCCUGUUAGAGGGGAAGAAUAGUACCGGUUGGACCGGUAUAUGACUGUACCCUCAGAGAAAGCCCCGGCUAACUACGUGCCAGCAGCCGCGGUAAUACGUAGGGGGCAAGCGUUGUCCGGAUUUACUGGGUGUAAAGGGCGCGCAGGCGGGAUAAAAAGUCAGUGGUGAAAUCCUACAGCUUAACUGUAGAACUGCCUUUGAUACUUUUAUUCUUGAGUUUGGGAGAGAGAGACGGAAUUCCAGGUGUAGUGGUGAAAUACGUAGAUAUCUGGAAGAACACCAGUUGCGAAGGCGGUCUCUUGGUCCGACACUGACGCUGAGGCGCGAAAGCGUGGGGAGCAAACA